UACGGAGGGAGCUAGCGUUGUUCGGAAUUACUGGGCGUAAAGCGCGCGUAGGCGGCUUUGUAAGUUAGAGGUGAAAGCCCGGGGCUCAACCCCGGAAUUGCCUUUAAGACUGCAUCGCUUGAAUCCGGGAGAGGUGAGUGGAAUUCCGAGUGUAGAGGUGAAAUUCGUAGAUAUUCGGAAGAACACCAGUGGCGAAGGCGG
rnacentral:rRNA from 1 species